CAGCAAAAUGCUCAGGCUGCUUCAUGAUUACUUCUAACUUCUUAUGGUGAACUGCUAGAGAAAAGGGAAACAGAGUGAAAAAAUUGGAAAAACGUACAGCCUGGCCAUGUGGGAGAUAAUAAUAAAAAGUAUGUUCAGAAGAAGCCAAGGAUGCAGCCUGUUGACCUUUUGCUAAAGAGAUUCAUAUGGAUAGAAGGGAGCCAGGUUCUAUUCCUCAAG
rnacentral:lncRNA from 1 species